GUUUCAGGGGGUGGUGAAAGUCCACACCGGUGGUGAUGAGCAAUUUGCUUGAGUCCACGAGCGCAAAUGCGUUGAUUCGGUGAGAAUCCGAAACCGACGGUUAGAGUCCGGAUGAAAGAAA
rnacentral:ncRNA from 1 species